rnacentral:lncRNA from 1 species
CAAAAAAGUUACCUUUGCCUACCUGGCCUACAUCAGGACACAGAAAACAAUUUCUGGAAAUGGAGUGUGUCUGCGUCCUGAACUCUCUCACUCAUUCAAUUAUCAAUCCACCAUCAAAAGCCUACGGCACCAGGACACACAGGUAACACAGGUCUUCCCCGUGGAGUGGGAAGCCUCUGACAAGGCAC